rnacentral:rRNA from 1 species
CCCUUAGAUGUUCUGGGCCGCACGCGUGCUACACUGAGUGGAUCAGCGGGUCAGGUUGCGCGAAAGCGUUUCCUAAUCUUUAAAUCCGCUCGUGAUGGGGAUUGACGGUUGCAAUUUUCUGUCAUGAACGAGGAAUACCUUGUAAGCGCGGGUCAUCAUCCCGCGCUGAAUACGUCCCUGCCCUUUGUACACACCGCCCGUCGCUCCUACCGAUUGAGUGGUCCGGUGAGGCUUUGGGAUCUGAGCGGAAAGAGCGUUUCGCUGUUUCUGCUCGGAAAACUCAGUCUAACCUUAUCAUUUAGAGGAAGGAGAAGUCGUAACA